AGGCCUUCACUGUGAUCUGCAGAAUGCCUGUUAUACUGUCUGAGAUCAUUGUGAAAGCUAUU
rnacentral:pre_miRNA from 1 species